CCGGUUCCCGUUCGAUGUAAUUUUUAUACCACUGUGACCACCGUUCUUUUCUCUACAGGUUGACCGGAGUAAAAUACCAACUCGCAACUCGCGUCGGAGGAGCCGCCGCACCCGAGAGCUUCACCGUCGGUAAGUCUCAGUUUUCUGUAAUUUUUUGGCCCACCGAGGGCCCUAGGAGUGUUUUAUCACAGGAACCAAUGCAAGUUUGGCCGAAUUCGGCCGGAAACGACCAACCCGAGGCGGAUUGCCGCCGUGGGCAACAGCACCGUCGUUAGAGCACGGCGGAGCCGCCGUGCCAGAAUUCCGAAAUUGGCCGAAAGGUCCCUGAGUCUGAUUUGGAGUUUUUUGGGGACAUUUGCAGGUACCAGAAGUGUGUUUCAGUUUUCGGAAAAAAAUUUAGGGAAUUUAGGGACUGCCCGUAGGCGCAGUGAGAAUCCGAUUUCAGACUCCGAAACAAGUAAGGAUCUCUCAGCCUAUUUCUAAUUACGGCAUUAAAGCUUAAUAAAUGAUAAUACGGUAUUUAUGAAUUAAUAGAUAUGUAUAAUUAAGUAAGGUUGCUAAUGAAG
rnacentral:lncRNA from 1 species